rnacentral:ncRNA from 1 species
CGCUCCCGUCGCGACUGGCGCCAGAGGGUGGAACCGACCACCGGGGAGCGACACCGAGCACCGCCGCGCGCCUGGGCACCCGCC